AUAAAGUUUUUUAAGCUUAAAUUUAUUAUAUAAAUUUAUUUUAAAUGUAAAUUUUAGUGAGAAAUAUAUUAAUUUAUAAAUAAAAUUAGUAAAUUUUAGUUACAGUAAAUUAUUCUAGUAAUUUAAGAAAUUAAGAAUUGGUUAUUUUUUUUAAUAUAAACAAAAUUUGUGCCAGCAGUUGCGGUUAUACUAAUUAUAUAAUAAUAAAUUUUUGGUAAUAGAAAAUAUAAAAUAUUUGAAUUUUUAAAAAAAUUUAUUAAGUGAAAUUUUAAAUUUUUAUUAUUUUAGUUUUUGUUUAUGAGAUCUAACAAAGUUUUAUUUUAAACUAGGAUUAGAUACCCUAUUAUAUUAAAAGUAAGUUUUAAUACCUAGUUAGUAUCGGUUUAAUAUCCUGAAAAUUAAUAAAUUUGGCGGUACUUUAGUCUAUUCAGAGGAACCUGUCCUAUAAUUGAUGGUCCACGAGUAUAAGAACUUAUUUUAAAAAUUUACAUAUCGCCGUAGUUUGAAUAUUUUUUAAAAAAUAUAAUAUUCAAGAUUUUUAUAGAAAGAAAGUCAGGUCAAGAUGUAGUUUAUAAAUAAGGAGAGGUGGGUUACAAUAAAAUUAUUUAUAUGGAAAAAUAAUUGUAAAAAAUUUUAAAAAGUGGAUUUGAAAGUAAUUUUAUAUUAAUAUUUUUAAAAUGAUUUUGGCUCUAAAGUAUGCACAUAUCGCCCGUCAUUUUCACUCUAAAGUGAAACAAGUCGUAACAUAGUAGGGGUACUGGAAAGUGUUCCUAGAAAGAU
rnacentral:ncRNA from 1 species